rnacentral:rRNA from 1 species
UGCCAGCAGCCGUGGUAAUACCGGCAGCUCAAGUGAUGGCCACUCUUAUUGAGCCUAAAGCGUCCGUAGCUGGCCGCGCAAGUCCAUCGGAAAAUCCACCCGCCCAACGGGUGGGCGUCCGGUGGAAACUGCGUGGCUUGGGACCGGAAGGCGCGACGGGUACGUCCGGGGUAGGAGUGAAAUCCCGUAAUCCUGGACGGACCGCCGAUGGCGAAAGCACGUCGCGAAGACGGAUCCGACAGUGAGGGACGAAAGCCAGGGUCUCGAACCGGAUUAGAAACCCUAGUAGUCC